rnacentral:rRNA from 1 species
UAGACAGCAGCAGCCGCGGUAAUCCGUAGGUGGCAAGCGUUGCCCGGAAUUAUUGGGCGUAAAGCGAGCGCAGGCGGUUAGAUAAGUCUGAAGUUAAAGGCUGUGGCUUAACCAUAGUACGCUUUGGAAACUGUUUAACUUGAGUGCAAGAGGGGAGAGUGGAAUUCCAUGUGUAGCGGUGAAAUGCGUAGAUAUAUGGAGGAACACCGGUGGCGAAAGCGGCUCUCUGGCUUGUAACUGACGCUGAGGCUCGAAAGCGUGGGGAGCAAACAGGAUUAGAGACCCGCGUAGUCCCUGUCUCUUAUACC